UCUGGUUGAUCCUGGCGGAGGUUACUGCUAUCGAGGUUCGACUAAGCCAUGCGAGUCGAAUGUAGCAAUACAUGGCGAACUGCUCAGUAACACGUGGACAACCUGCCCUUAGGACGGGGAUAAACCCGGGAAACUGGGUAUAAUACCCGAUAGGUCUCGAUUGCUGGAAUGCAUCGAGAUUUAAAGCUCCGGCGCCUAAGGAUGGGUCUGCGGCCUAUCAGGUAGUAGUGGGUGUAGCGUACCUACUAGCCUACGACGGGUACGGGUUGUGAGAGCAAGAGCCCGGAGAUGGAUUCUGAGACACGAAUCCAGGCCCUACGGGGUGCAGCAGGCGCGAAAACUUUACAAUGCUGGCAACAGCGAUAAGGGAACCUCGAGUGCCAGGUUACAAAUCUGGCUGUCGAGAUGCCUAAAAAGCAUUUCAUAGCAAGGGCCGGGCAAGACCGGUGCCAGUCGCCGCGGUAACACCGGCGGCUCGAGUGGUAACCGUUAUUAUUGGG
rnacentral:rRNA from 1 species